AGUUAAACAACUAGCAGAACUUAAGACUUAAAAUUUAAUUUUUUUUAACUCAUUAAAAAUUAAUACAGCUUAAACAAAUCAUUUUUCCGCCUCAGUACAGGAGAUAAAAAAG
rnacentral:rRNA from 1 species